GACGAACGCUGGCGGCGUGCCUAAUACAUGCAAGUUGAGCGCUGAAGGUUGGUACUUGUACCAACUGGAUGAGCAGCGAACGGGUGAGUAACGCGUGGGGAAUCUGCCUUUGAGCGGGGGACAACAUUUGGAAACGAAUGCUAAUACCGCAUAAAAACUUUAAACACAAGUUUUAAGUUUGAAAGAUGCAAUUGCAUCACUCAAAGAUGAUCCCGCGUUGUAUUAGCUAGUUGGUGAGGUAAGGGCUCACCAAGGCGAUGAUACAUAGCCGACCUGAGAGGGUGAUCGGCCAAAUUGGGACUGAGACACGGCCCAAAAUCCUACGGGAGGCAGCAGUAGGGAAUCUUCGGCAAGGGACGAAAGUCUGAACGAGCAACGCCGCGUGAGUGAAGAAGGUUUUCGGAUCGUAAAACUCUGUUGGUAGAGAAGAACGUUGGUGAGAGUGGAAAGCUCAUCAAGUGACGGUAACUACACAGAAAGGGACGGCUAACUACGUG
rnacentral:rRNA from 1 species